UGUCAAGGCAGGUGCAUCAGGCGGUUAUUAUGGACCCGCAUUUCAAAACAAUUCGAUCGCACUGGACCGACCGGGUGACCUCUUCUUCUACUACUCCCACAGCUGCAACUCCUUUAAAAGCUUGACACAGAAGCCAUGCAUGUCAUCACAGUCAGCUGAGGAGGUACUCAAACACUAACAACGAGAAGAAAGUCUUCACUGAUGGGGAAAAGAUCAUCUCGCCAGGCCACUGUGAUUGAUCCAUUGUAGCCUUACAAAGUCUGCCGGUAAAAAUGAGAUUCUGAAUGAGGGUCGCCAGAGGCCAAUCCCCUCCAUCAUUACCCUCCCUUAUGCUUGAAUCUUUGCAGUGUUAAAUUGUGAGACAAUAGCUGUCUACAAUUGCGAGUGGAACCACGGUCAGGACCAGGUUGUACCCACAUUACUGUUUUCUUCAAUGUCGACCGUCAAAGAAAUAUUGUGGAGCUCAUCCCUUUUUGCUGCUGAAAGCCAUGUUAGAGUAUUCUUACAUGAAUACGGUUUACAUGCGUUGUUUUUUAGCCUCAGUUACAAAACACAGGCUGUUCCUCUCUCGCUGUCUAUUAAAACACAGUUGCAUUGUGCAUAUUUGGUAGCCAACACAGGCCACUACAGCGAGGGUUCUCAACGAGCUUCAACCUACUGACUGUAGUAGCCACGUUUUUCGAUAGUCAUAAUUAUUUCUUUAAUAAUUCAUACAAAUUCAAGGUAACAUAUUUUAAAAUCAUGAAUACCGUAAUUUUCGGUCCAUAAGCCGCUACAUAUUACCCACGCUGUAAACCCUGCGCUUUAAACAGUACAAUACUGCAGCUAACUUAAGGGUUUUUCCGGGUUCAUAAGCUCAAUAACUUCUCUACGGCCUUAGCCUUAAACCACUUCUGUUUGUUUGAGAUUGUAAUGACAGCCACAAAUUGUGAAAAAAAUGGAUUACAACUGAGUACCCCCACGGCUCUUACAGACCACAGCUGAGAAGCGGAUACUUUUUGGCGUACCUCUAGGGGACCUUUACAGCCCAAUAAAAGGGUCUGGCCCUGAAGUCAAAUAACACAGUUUUGUUUUUUAUUUUUUUGAGGGGGGGUUUGUUUUUUAACAUGUCCUGUCCAGCCACUGAGGCAAAUCAUAUUGUUGACAUAGACGCUCAUAUCUGCUUUAUAGAUUUACUUUACAAAAGAGAAGUGUGGAAUAUUUCACUUGUUGCCUUAUUUAUAAGCAUAUUAUAAGCAUCUGCUUCAUCCAACCCUUUUUAAGCCUUGCAUAAAUGUCUCUGCCAAAAUG